GCACCCAAUGCUCCUAACCUCUGAACCAUCUCCUUAGCUCCGCCAUGGCAACUCUUUUAAAGGAUUUCAAGGCUAACAACUACACUCCAGCAUCUAAGGCUUAGGGAACAACUCAGAAGAGGCAACAAGAAGACUGAGAGAGUCAGAGGACCAGGGAAUCUGUGAUACUGUCUCCUAGAAAUGACAAAGAAGUUUCACCCAUGAUACCUCAACAAUGUGGCUGUCUAAACAGGAUCUGAAUAAGGACAACACCAAUAGGUGUCUACAAACAGGAAGGCAGACAGAAGAUACAAACUGCAUAAAGCAGGGGAUGGAUUCCUCCCUGGAUCCUCAGAGGGAAUGGCGGUCCUGCAUAUGCUUUCCUGGAGCCCUCUGAGAUGGGACUUCUGACCUCCAGAGAUGUAAGACCAUACAUUUGAACAGUCACCAUAGCAACUUAACAGUCCACUAGGAAUUGGACAUGUGGGAAUGGUUUGGAGAAGGCCUUCCACCGUGCCACAAUAAAACCAUUGCCAUGGCAGUCAUUCACAAAA